UCUCUGGUGGCUCAGACAGUAAAGAAUCUGCCUGCAAUGCAGGAGACCCAGGUUCAAUCCCUGGUUUGGGAA
rnacentral:tRNA from 1 species